CAACAGAGCCGAGGAACUCUUGAGUUUACCUUAAUUUUGUUUCCUAGCACGUGCAGAUACUGAGUGUCUAAUUCUGGCUUAAACCAUUGUGUCUGGAGAGGAAAGCCACCUUGAAUUCACACGGCUACUAGGGUCCAUUCUGGUAUUUCCUGAAAAUUAUCACUGGAGCCCAGAAGGGUACUUCUCCUUUCACAUGAAGAGAAGAAUUAUGAUGACUUGUCAUCUUUGCCUAUUGUCAUGUCUAGAGAAGAAUUCUAUAAACAAUUAUAGCAACUUGCCUCACAACUGGAGAUGAAUUAAAC
rnacentral:lncRNA from 1 species